AGUCUUUGUAGGUGAAGUAGACUUGGCUGACAGAUGCUCUGUUCUGCUUCCUCGGCAG
ensembl:miRNA Mir6932 microRNA 6932